rnacentral:rRNA from 1 species
AUUGAACGCUGGCGGCAGGCCUAACACAUGCAAGUCGAACGGUAGCACAGAGAGCUUGCUCUCGGGUGACGAGUGGCGGACGGGUGAGUAAUGUCUGGGAAACUGCCCGAUGGAGGGGGAUAACUACUGGAAACGGUAGCUAAUACCGCAUAACGUCGCAAGACCAAAGUGGGGGACCUUCGGGCCUCACACCAUCGGAUGUGCCCAGAUGUGGAUUAGCUAGUAGGUGGGGUAAUGGCUCACCUAGGCGACGAUCCCUAGCUGGUCUGAGAGGAUGACCCGCCACACUGGAACUGAGACACGGUCCAGACUCCUACGGGAGGCAGCAGUGGGGAAUAUUGCACAAUGGGCGCAAGCCUGAUGCAGCCAUGCCGCAUGUAUGAAGAAGGCCUUCGGGUUGUAAAGUACUUUCAGCGGGGAGGAAGGCGGUGAAGUUAAUAGCUUCACCGAUUGACGUUACCCGCAGAAGAAGCACAGGCUAACUCCGUGCCAGCAGCCGCCGUAA